CGUUCUAUGGCCGAACUGGCGAAGGCGUCGCUGAUUACAGGCGUAGAUCCGGGUUCGAGUCCCGCUGGAACGG
rnacentral:tRNA from 1 species